CUCUCUUUGUUAAUAAUAAAUAAGGAGUUGGGCCUGCUCGGUGAAUAUUUUUUAACAGCUGCGGUAUUUUAACUGUACUAAGGUAGCAUAAUAAUUUGCCUUAUAAUUUGAGGCUAGAAUGAAUGGUUUGACGAAGGUUAAUCUGUCUCGUUUUAUUUUUUAGAAAUUAAUUUUCAUAGUGAAAAAGCUUGAAUUUUUUAAAGGGACGAGAAGACCCUAUUGAGCUUAUAAUUUUAUUACUAUUGUGUUUUGUGAAUUAUCAUCAUAGUAUAUAAAUUUAAUUGGGGUGAUUAAGGAAUAAAUUUUAUGGUAUAACUUCCUUAUAUUAAUAUAUUGUUAGAUUGUGAACCGAUAUAGUUAACAUAGUGUGUUAGAGUAUUGCUUAUAAUAUAGUUACCAUAGGGAUAACAGCGUAAUUUACUUAGAGAGUUCUUAUUGAAAAGUAAGAUUGCGACCUCGAUGUYGGAUUAAAGUAACCUUAAGGUGCAGAAGCUUUAUAAGGUAAAUCUGUUCGAUUUUUAAAACUUUAC
rnacentral:rRNA from 1 species